rnacentral:rRNA from 1 species
AUUGAACGCUGGCGGCAUGCUUUACACAUGCAAGUCGAACGGCAGCGCGGGCUUCGGCCUGGCGGCGAGUGGCGAACGGGUGAGUAAUGCAUCGGAACGUGCCCAGUAGUGGGGGAUAGCCCGGCGAAAGCCGGAUUAAUACCGCAUACGACCUGAGGGUGAAAGCGGGGGACCGAAAGGCCUCGCGCUAUUGGAGCGGCCGAUGUCGGAUUAGCUAGUUGGUGGGGUAAAGGCUUACCAAGGCGACGAUCCGUAGCUGGUCUGAGAGGACGACCAGCCACACUGGGACUGAGACACGGCCCAGACUCCUACGGGAGGCAGCAGUGGGGAAUUUUGGACAAUGGGGGCAACCCUGAUCCAGCCAUGCCGCGUGCGGGAAGAAGGCCUUCGGGUUGUAAACCGCUUUUGUUCGGGAAGAAAUCCUCUGAGCUAAUACCCCGGGGGGAUGACGGUACCGGAAGAAUAAGCACCGGCUAACUACGUG